GAUCUGGUGGCACAGUGGUAGCGCGCCCACCCUUCUGGUGGGAGGUCAUGGGUUCGACUCCCAUCCAGGUCC